rnacentral:lncRNA from 1 species
UUUUUUUCCCCCUUAAUUGAUCCAUUGCUAAGUUGCUUCAGUUGUGUCCGACUCAUUAGGACCCUAUGGACCAGAGCCCACCAGGCUACUCUGUCCAUAGGGAUUUCCAGGCAAAAAUACUGGAGUGGGUUGCCAUGUCCUCUCCAGGGGAUCUUCCUGACCCAGGGACUGAACCCACGUCUCUUACUGUCUCCUGCAUUCUUUAUUACUAGUGCUACCUGGGAAGCUCAAAAAUGCAGUAUUUUUUUGCAUGUAGAAAAUAAAGUCAUCAUUGUUUAUGCUAUUUGGAGAAAUUAUCUUACCAAUAAAUAUCAUUUUUUUUCUUGCAGCAUAAAUUCUAAAAUCUUAGCAAGAAGAGCAGGACUUUCUGGCACAGAAAAUUUGCAAGAUGUAUUGCCGAAUCCUUUCCUGAACCAGAGAUAGAUGAUCGAACCAGGCAUGGCGCAUCAGAGAAUCACAACUUACUGAUGCCAGCAGUGGUUGGGGGUUCUAAUUUUCAAGGACCUCUGUCAGAGAUUGAGAUAGUUGUGUCCUCUUGGGUCAUAGCAGGAAACACAUUAUAUCUGAAAAGUUCACCAGCAUCUUGGUCCCUUCUCAAGUACCCUGUGCAUAGUAAGUAUCUUUCGCUCAUUUUUUAAAGUCUCUACUAUGUGCUAAGCUCUAUUUUAAGUUUUGAUAUGACUACAAAAUAUCUGUGAAACAUGGCUUUUUCCUGCAAUAUUUUACUUAGGGCUAAAACCCAUUUUUUGCCCAUUAAAUGGCACAAUAGGCCAUAAAUAGCUGGAACUGUUUAUAGGUUGGGUACUAUGUGUUCAGAAGAGAGAGGGAAAGUGAAGCUUAGGAUUGAUGAAGGAGAAUUCUUGGAGGAGGUGGCACUGUACUUGAACUAAACCUUUACAGACGAACAGAAUUAGAAUGAUGAAGAAGGGACCAUGUUAACCAUGGUUGUCUUGGUUGCAAGUGAUGGAAUGACAUCCAAACUGGUGCAAGUGAAAAAGGGGAUGCUUUGGUUCACAGCUGAAAACCCAGAGGUAGUAUUGUGUUAGGCAUAGCUGGAUCCUUGGUGGUCAGUGGUCCUCUCCAAGUUUGGUUCCAUCUUCUUCAUUUCUCUCUCUUUUAUUUUUCAGCCAAACCACAUGCAGGAUCUUAGUUCCCCAACCAGAGAUUGAACCUGUAACUCCUGCAUUGGAAGUGUAAAGUUUUAACCACUGGACCACCAGGAAAGUCCCUCAUCUUCUCCAUCUCUUGAUUUAUAUCUCUGCCUUAUGUUGGCUUUAUUCCCGGACAGAUCAUCUCUUUGGUAACAAGAUACCUGCCAGGAUUUCCAGACUUAAAUCUCAUCAGCACCCUCAACAAAAAGCAAACUCUCUUCUAAACAGUGCUAAAAGUUCUGGGUUUCAGCCUCAUGGACUCUGAUUGGGUCAUGUGUCCCUCUUUAAAAUAGCCAUCCUGGUCCUUAUUUCCUGCUGUGUGUCACAUGGAUUGACAGAGGGGAAGGGAUAUUUUUCAGGAAAUUUAGAGUACCAUCAGCAAGACCUAUGGGAGAGUAGAUACUGGAUAGACAAAUGUAAAACAUGGCUGUAGGAGGUAAGUCAACAAAUGUAUGAGGGGACGAUGCUAUUUAACUAAGAGAUGUUCUAUAAAUAUAAGUAAGUAUAAGGGUUGGUUAUGGAGUGGCAGUUGAUGUAAAACUUCAUUAGGACAUCAUCCAGUAAGAAAAUGCUGUGUUCAAGGAACAAGGGAGAAUAAAAAUUGAUUAGAAUGUAAAAAUAUCUUAAAAAUGGUGAGCAAAUAAAGCUGGAGAAACAGAGUGGACCAAAGCAUAGAGGANNNNNNNNNNNNNNNNNNNNNNNNNNNNNNNNNNNNNNNNNNNNNNNNNNNNNNNNNNNNNNNNNNNNNNNNNNNNNNNNNNNNNNNNNNNNNNNNNNNAAACAGAGUGGACCAAAGCAUAGAGGAAGUUGUCUAGAGGCUAGUUAAAUUUUAUGCCCUUGGCAAAAGCAACUAGCCAUUAAAAAACUUUUAAAUAUCUUCAUUAAACAUUGCACCACAUUAUUUGCAAUGUCAAUAUACUAAAAAACCCUCCCUACCUGUUCUCAUUUUUUGAAGGGAAUGGCAGGUGACUCACUCAAAUGCAUUCCUAGUGAGAGGCUUGGUGUGAGCCAAUCAGGGUAGGCCCUUUUCCUUGACCAGGGAGGGACUGAGUUGGAAGUGGGCAUGAGAUCCAACUCUAUCUCAUGAGAGGUGAGAAGUCUGUUGGAGGAAUUUCUGCAGAAAGUUUUAUUUUUCCUAAACACGGUCUAAAGGGAGAGAUUUUCUUUUUCCAUGGGAAGCUGGCCCUGAUACCUAGAACUGUUGAACCUUUUUACUACAAGUCUAAGGAUGGAGCCCAUGCUACAAAGACAUAAGAACCUGGAUCCUUGGUGUCAGAGUACUGCAGUCUGAUCUACNNNNNGCUUUCUAUUAUGUGACUUGAUAAAUAUCUUUAUUGUUUCAGCCAAUUUGAGAUAGGUUUUCUAUUAUUUGUAGCCAAAAGCAACCUGAGCUAUAUAUUUUAUGUAUAGAAGAUAUAGACAUAGAAACCUUUAUUGUAAUAUCAUUUAUUUAUUCUUUUAUUAUUCACACAACAAAAUUCACUAAAAUAGAAAGAGAAAGCUAUGCUAUCAUGUACAGAA